UACGUAGGGGGCUAGCGUUGUCCGGAAUCAUUGGGCGUAAAGCGCGUGUAGGCGGUCCGGUAAGUCCGCUGUGAAAGUCGGGGGCUCAACCCUCGGAUGCCGGUGGAUACUGUCGGGCUUGAGUACGGAAGAGGCGAGUGGAAUUCCUGGUGUAGCGGUGAAAUGCGCAGAUAUCAGGAGGAACACCAAUUGCGAAGGCAGCUCGCUGGGACGUUACUGACGCUGAGACGCGAAAGCGUGGGGAGCAAACAGG
rnacentral:rRNA from 3 species